CUAACUGGAGGACCGAACCGACUAAUGUUGAAAAAUUAGCGGAUGACUUGUGGCUGGGGGUGAAAGGCCAAUCAAACCGGGAGAUAGCUGGUUCUCCCCGAAAGCUAUUUAGGUAGCGCCUCGUGAACUCAUCUUCGGGGGUAGAGCACUGUUUCGGCUAGGGGGUCAUCCCGACUUACCAACCCGAUGCAAACUACGAAUACCGAAGAAUGUUAUCACGGGAGACACACGGCGGGUGCUAACGUCCGUCGUGAAGAGGGAAACAACCCAGACCGCCAGCUAAGGUCCCAAAGUCAUGGUUAAGUGGGAAACGAUGUGGGAAGGCACAGACAGCCAGGAUGUUGGCUUAGAAGCAGCCAUCAUUUAAAGAAAGCGUAAUAGCUCACUGGUCGAGUCGGCCUGCGCGGAAGAUGUAACGGGGCUAAACCAUGCACCGAAGCUGCGGCAGCGACACUAUGUGUUGUUGGGUAGGGGAGCGUUCUGUAAGCCUGCGAAGGUGACCUGUGAGGGUUGCUGGAGGUAUCAGAAGUGCGAAUGCUGACAUAAGUAACGAUAAAGCGGGUGAAAAGCCCGCUCGCCGGAAGACCAAGGGUUCCUGUCCAACGUUAAUCGGGGCAGGGUGAGUCGACCCCUAAGGCGAGGCCGAAAGGCGUAGUCGAUGGGAAACAGGUUAAUAUUCCUGUACUUGGUGUUACUGCGAAGGGGGGACGGAGAAGGCUAUGUUAGCCGGGCGACGGUUGUCCCGGUUUAAGCAUGUAGGCUGGUUAUCCAGGCAAAUCCGGAUAAUCAAGGCUGAGGUGUGAUGACGAGGCACUACGGUGCUGAAGUAACAAAUGCCCUGCUUCCAGGAAAAGCCUCUAAGCAUCAGGUAACAUCAAAUCGUACCCCAAACCGACACAGGUGGUCAGGUAGAGAAUACCAAGGCGCUUGAGAGAACUCGGGUGAAGGAACUAGGCAAAAUGGUGCCGUAACUUCGGGAGAAGGCACGCUGGUGUGUAGGUGAAGCCCCUGCGGGUGGAGCUGAGACCAGUCGAAGAUACCAGCUGGCUGCAACUGUUUAUUAAAAACACAGCACUGUGCAAACACGAAAGUGGACGUAUACGGUGUGACGCCUGCCCGGUGCCGGAAGGUUAAUUGAUGGGGUUAUCCGUAAGGAGAAGCUCUUGAUCGAAGCCCCGGUAAACGGCGGCCGUAACUAUAACGGUCCUAAGGUAGCGAAAUUCCUUGUCGGGUAAGUUCCGACCUGCACGAAUGGCGUAAUGAUGGCCAGGCUGUCUCCACCCGAGACUCAGUGAAAUUGAACUCGCUGUGAAGAUGCAGUGUACCCGCGGCAAGACGGAAAGACCCCGUGAACCUUUACUAUAGCUUGACACUGAACAUUGAGCCUUGAUGUGUAGGAUAGGUGGGAGGCUUUGAAGCGUGGACGCCAGUCUGCGUGGAGCCAACCUUGAAAUACCACCCUUUAAUGUUUGAUGUUCUAACGUUGGCCCCU
rnacentral:rRNA from 1 species